GGGGACACAGUUUCAAUCAUUGUAAGAUGGAGACAUUUUUCUGAUGGCUGUAUGGAGACAGAAGGCUAGAAAUACUUUCUCAGGUGUAAAGAGAAAGAAGAAGAAGAAUGCCUCCAUGCAAUGAAUUGACACAUCCUUCCUGAUGGACAGAUUUCUUCCCUCUAACCCAGAUGCUGUUUAAAUGGCUGUUCUUGAAGGUUAAUGAACGGUCUUUUCACGGCUCACUCCAACUUCUGCUUGUGAAUCGUGCGUUACCUGCUGCCUGCUCUCAACUCGACCCACUGGACCUGGAACUCCAUCGUACAUGUCCCGCGUCCAUCCCUAGUUUCCGGGCUGACCCUGCUCCAGUACCUGAAGCCACCACCCGCUUACCACCCGCUAGCGGCUGGGGAGGGGAGAUGAGACCGGUAUUGAUUAUACCCCAAGUGAGACUUCGGGACACAGUAAAUGACCAGCAACAGUCUAAGAGUGAGGAGGCUCCUUCAUCAGCCGGCCUGGGUCACAGAUAAGCGAACCCAGAAGACCUUCCGUUCACCGCGUUUUCACCCCCAACGGACAGACUUCAUCAUGGGUGGGAGAUCCCAACGCAGUGAAAUUGCUGAUUUUGUGCACCUGUGUGCCUCAGCCUUUCCCAGAAAGUGGGGGUGGAGAUGGGGGGUGGUCUUUUCACCCUCCCCCCCAACACAUCCCACUCCUUUGAACCCUGGCUCUCCUGAACCCCUCUGGCCUGGGCCAGUAGGCAGUUGGCACACCGGUACCUGGCCGGAGAUCUUCUGCUACCCAGAGCAGCCCCCUAUCUCGGAAUAAGAAGUGGAAGGCAAACUGGAUCGGAGGACGGACAAGACCCGCUACUCUAUCGGCCUUCCGUGGCUCCCUACCCACCAUUCAAAGAGAAGAUCAUCUCGAGCUGGGUAGACCAGCCGGUAGACAGUGAACUCGUUCCACCUCCAGGCUCUCCCCAGAAGACUGAGUGUUUGGUUGAAAUGAUGGGACUCCAGGACCACUGAUACAUCUACAGAAUCCUUCCUUAAAAGUUCUCUUAUUAAGCAUGUGCAACCCACUGACCUAAGCGCUUGGGAGAGUUUACUAGAAACAGAUGGAUGGCAUGGUCCAUUGGCUUCAGGGAGCCAUGGGCCAAUAAAGAUACUGCCUCAGUCA